AUCCAUCUGACAAGUCCCAAAUAGGACGAAACAAGCGUCCUGGAU
rnacentral:hammerhead_ribozyme from 1 species